rnacentral:rRNA from 1 species
AUUGAACGCUGGCGGCAGGCCUAACACAUGCAAGUCGAACGAGUGGCGGACGGGUGAGUAAUGUCUGUGAAACUGCCUGAUGGCGGGGGAUAACUCCUGGAAACGGUAGCUACUACCGCAUACCAUCAGAUGUGCCCAGCUGGGAUUAGCUUGUUGGGGGGGUAACGGCUCACCAGGGCUCCGAUCCCUAGCUGGUCUGAGAGGAUGACCAGCCAGACUGGAACUGAGACACGGUCCAGACUCCGAAGGGAGGCAGCAGGGGGGAAUAUUGCACAAUGGGCGAAAGCCUGAUGCAGCCAUGCCGCGUGUAGGAAGAAGGCCUUCGGGUUGUAAAGUACUUGCAGCGGGGAGGCGUUACCCGCAGAAGAAGCACCGGCUAACUCCGUGCCAGCAGCCGCGGUAAUAC